GCCCGGUUAGCUCAGCCGGUAGAGCGUUGGACUUUUAAUCCAACGGUGAAAGGUUCAAGUCCCUUAUCGGGAU
rfam:Ciona savignyi cont_37024, whole genome shotgun sequence.